GGGGUAGACAAAGGUUAAGCCCCGAAAGAGAGAGUGAGAGAGAGAGAGACAGAAGCUUUUGCAAGCUUUUCCCUCAGUAAUAAGCAAGUAGGCCAGUGGAAAAAAGUUAGUACGAAAUAAAUGUAAUUGAAAAUUGAGAAUUUUGUGUGCCAAUAAAAACAGCCAACACCAGUGGCAAAAUGUUAGUACAAAACAGCGCCAAUAAAUGCAACAUUAACUGGCCAAAGAGCUGCCGAAAUG
rnacentral:lncRNA from 1 species